UGGGGAAUUUUGGACAAUGGGCGAAAGCCUGAUCCAGCAAUGCCGCGUGUGUGAAGAAGGCCUUCGGGUUGUAAAGCACUUUUGUCCGGAAAGAAAUCCUUGCUCUAAGUACAGUCGGGGGAUGACGGUACCGGAAGAAUAAGCACCGGCUAACUACGUGCCAGCAGCCGCGGUAAUACGUAGGGUGCAAGCGUUAAUCGGAAUUACUGGGCGUAAAGCGUGCGCAGGCGGUUUGCUAAGACCGAUGUGAAAUCCCCGGGCUCAACCUGGGAACUGCAUUGGUGACUGGCAGGCUAGAGUAUGGCAGAGGGGGGUAGAAUUCCACGUGUAGCAGUGAAAUGCGUAGAGAUGUGGAGGAAUACCGAUGGCGAAGGCAGCCCCCUGGCAAGUACUGACGCUCAUGCACGAAAGCGUGGGGAGCAAACAGGAUUAGAUACCCUGGUAGUCCACGCCCUAAACGAUGUCAACUAGUUGUUGGGGGAUUCAUUUCCUUAGUAACGUAGCUAACGCGUGAAGUUGACCGCCU
rnacentral:rRNA from 1 species